rnacentral:lncRNA from 1 species
CAAUGGGCCCUUUUUAAAAAUAGUGAGUAGGAACAAUUUAUGAAAAGUCCAUUGUUUCCAUAUAUACAUUAACUAAUAUAAAAGAUCUUGUUGCUUAACCCUAACCAUCGUUUUCUUCUCCUUCUUCUCACACCCAUGGUCGGCACACCCAUAAUUGAUAUUCUUUGCUUCGUAAAAUCUCGGGUAAGUCAAAAUCUCUUAUCUAUCAUCUUCAUUUUUUUUAUUAAUGCAAAAAACUUUGUUAGUAUAAUUGUUUUAUAUCUCUUGAUUUAGUAUAUCUAUGAUGUGGGUUUUGUAAAUGGUGUUUUUUAUCGAGUUCUAAGGAAGUAAAAACUAGGUUUAACAUUCUAACAUAUUUUUUGUUUCAUUGCUAAUAAGCCCCAAAACAAAUGAAAACAAGAAAAAUGAAUUAUUUUUAAAAAUUUUGUCUAAUUGAGAAUGAGA